CCAUGGAGAUUCAAAGAGACAGCAUGAAAACUUGCAGUAAGGUAUAUUGGUGAUUCAGAAUAAAAUCCAAAAGACUAGCAGAGUACUUGUUUAAUCUUAGGAAGCAAAUGCUAUGGGAGGAGUAUAUAUCAGGUCUCUGAAGCAUAGAAGUAAUUUUCAUCCUGAAAUACAAGAAUGUGGAUUUAUGUAUUUAUCUACCAUAGGAAAAUUCCUCUGAAUUAUGAUGCUUAACCUAUCCAAAAGCAAGAAAUCUACUUACUAAUAUAGAAUAAUACAAUGUAGAGAGACAAAGAAAUGGAAAACACAAGCAGGAACUGGAGACACAUGGAAUGGAAUGUAUAUGUCUAUGAUAUCUAAUUAUAGUUGCACAAAAAAUAGAGACAAAGAGAAAGAGAUGAGGUAAAAAUAAGGGUUUGGGAAAUUCUUUUCGAGUGAAGACAUUAAGAAAGGCUCCUUCCACAGAGAAAAUAAUCAAAACCCAAUUCUCAAAUAUGUCAAGAAAAAUAAUUCUUUUAUAGGAAGUAAAAAGUACUUACAAAGCAAGGCUACUCAAAACAUACUGUACGUGCUCACAUUCAUCUGGGAAUGAUGCACUGGCUGAUGUAAAACAGCAAAGUGCAGUCUGAAGAACCUGAAGCUGUGGCAAAGGGACCUGCCAUCUUCCAGCAUAAUCUUCAACCACCUGAUGGGGAAAUAAUCCAAAAAACUCAACAGGCGGAGGAAUUUCAGGAAGACAGCAACAGCCAAGGAAGAUGGCAACAGUUAAGGUAGCAGAGGACUAAAAAAUGUCUUGGCAGAACGCUGGGGACGAAGAAAUCUACAGACAAGGAUAGAACGAACACUGGGGCUUUGCAGAUUGCAGGGCUGGAGUCUUGGGGAGAUCUGCCUUGAACUGUACACACUGAGUAAGUGAUAUGCUAUUUAAAAGAGAUAGUUUAGAAGCUGUGACACUAAACAGAUUACAAACUUACUGCAGCACAGGAAUACCAGGACUACACAGAUGAAACGGAAACUAAAAGUUUUUAAUAUGAAAAAAAUCUGAGGAGGAAACAUCAAACACACUAGUGCCCAGGGCCACUUUCCACAGAAAUUUGCAAACUUUGCAAGGCAGAAAUUCAGAUACACUUUCAAGGAACUAGAAAUGUUCAGAUUAAGAGUUCCCACUGCCCCCCAAAGUAUUGUAGACACACAGUGAGACAAUCAACCACUUGACUUAGGUACAAGUUCUAGACUCUGGCAGUUGGUGCAAGUGACUGACACCCUAGUGAGGUUGAAACCAAAACUGAUUUAAAACCCUGCUUUCUGUGCACCUAUCUUCCCUGUGAUAUCACUAAACUCUACUGGCAAAAGUAAUAUGAGUCAACUGGACUAUGUACUAAGUUGAAGAAACUACUGUUCUAAAUUUAAUGGGUAUUGGACUGUGUAGAGUAAUAAAUUUUUGCCCUACUGACUUCUGGAUUCUUUAAAAAGUUAAGACACAAAAGAAAUUGGGAAUGAAAAAAUUCUUUUAAAGAUGUGAAAAAUCUACUCCCAGGAAGCUACUCAGCUACUCCCAGCAACAAUAGCUGACUCAGAGGAAGACAACCCAAGCUAUAGUUCCUGAAAAAUCCCUACCUCUAGCCAGAGGCACUUCUUCAAGUCU